UCUUCAACCACCGAAACCAUAGAGGGUUCUUCCUUGUCUCUUAAGCGCGUAAACAACAUCCAUAGCAGUCACAGUUUUCCUCCUCGCAUGCUCAGUGUAAGUAACAGCAUCUCUUAUAACAUUCUCCAAGAAGAUCUUCAACACACCUCUUGUUUCCUCAUAGAUCAAUCCACUGAUUCUUUUCACACCUCCUCUUCUCGCCAAUCGACGAAUCGCUGGCUUUGUGAUUCCUUGGAUGUUGUCACGGAGAACCUUGCGAUGUCUCUUUGCACCCCCCUUUCCUAAUCCUUUACCUCCCUUUCCACGACCAGACAUUUUUG
rnacentral:lncRNA from 1 species